rnacentral:lncRNA from 1 species
UGAGAUGCCGGGGUGGCCAAAAAUACAAAUCGAAGAUUGGUUGGCAGAGGGUGUGUGGAGUCAAGGUUGGCCGCCCAUAUGUGCAGCGGUAACUGGUAGGGUUCAUCUCCCCAUAUUUCCAGUUGGUUGUUGUUGCAAACACCGGAACAAUCUUUUAUGAUAUGAUAAUAUACUAGUUCUUGAAGAGGAUGAUGGAAAGAGACGAAUUGAGGAGAGAUGGUUGCAGGAGUCGGAGUGAGAAAUGGUGAUCGGAUUUUGAGUUAUAUGAAAGAAGUUAAAAGAACUGCAGAAAUGCCUGAGCUGCCCAUCAAAUCUAUACUAUUUUAUCAAGAGAUUUAAAUGGGUGGUUCAGAUCUUGUAAUUUGAAAACUAUAAAGAUUCUGAGGACUUCAACCAGAUUGAAUGAGAAACUUUGUUUUUUCGAUGAAUGACAUAAUUCUCCGGUGAGCUUUGUGACCAUCUGUUUGUCGUUCAAAGAAUAAAUAGAUGACAGGGACGGCUUUCAACCUUUAAACCUUACAACUAUUAUAAAUCUUGGUUUGAUAGGUAGCUUUAUAUUAACACUAUAUUUGUGUCUAUCAGGUACAUAUCCAACAAGGUGUCACAUCGUUCAUACGAACAAUUAUGUGGGUAC